GCCUCUGUAGCUCAGUGGUAGAGCACUUUCUUGGUAAGAAAGGGGUCACGAGUUCAACUCUCGUCAGAGGCU
rnacentral:tRNA from 1 species